rnacentral:rRNA from 1 species
AUACGGAGGAUGCGAGCGUUAUCCGGAUUUAUUGGGUUUAAAGGGUGCGUAGGCGGACGAUUAAGUCAGCUGUGAAAUGCCCGCGCUUAACGCGGGAAGUGCAGUUGAUACUGGUUGUCUGGAGUGCCGUUGCCGUGGGGGGAAUGUGUAGUGUAGCGGUGAAAUGCAUAGAUAUAACACAGAACCCCGAUUGCGAAGGCAGCUUACCGGGCUACAUCUGACGCUGAUGCACGAAAGCGUGGGGAUCAAACAGGAUUAGAUACCCUGGUAGUCCACGCAGUAAACGAUGAAUACUAGCUGUAUGCGAUAUACUGUAUGUGGCAAAGCGAAAGCAUUAAGUAUUCCACCUGGGGAGUACGUCGGCAACGAUGAAACUCAAAGGAAUUGACGGGG